CGUCGCGUCCGGGUUGUCACUCUCUCGGGUUGUUAGUCUGUAGCUUUCCGGCUCGCGAAAGGGAGGACCUGUCUGGGUCAUGGAUUUUGAGAAUCUUUUCUCAAAACCCCCCAACCCGGCCCUCGGCAAAACGGCCACGGACUCUGACGAAAGAAUCGAUGAUGAAAUAGAUACAGAAGUUGAAGAAACACAAGAAGAUAAAAUUAAACUGGAGUGUGAGCAAAUUCCCAAAAAAGUAAGAUUAAGUUGACCACUGUUUAAGUUGAAAACGCAGAUUUUUUUUUCUCAGUUUCACAUGGAACAACAAAAAAAGAAAAAA
rnacentral:sRNA from 1 species